CCUACGGGGGGCUGCAGUGGGGAAUUUUCCGCAAUGGGCGAAAGCCUGACGGAGCAAGACCGCGUGAGGGAAGAAGGCCUAUUGGUUGUAAACCUCUUUUCUCGGGGAAGAAAAAAAUGACGGUACCCGAGGAAUAAGCCUCGGCUAACUCCGUGCCAGCAGCCGCGGUAAUACGGAGGAGGCAAGCGUUAUCCGGAAUUAUUGGGCGUAAAGCGUCCGUAGGUGGCCCAUCAAGUCUGCGGUUAAAGACCGGAGCUCAACUCCGGAGGAGCCGU
rnacentral:rRNA from 1 species